rnacentral:snRNA from 1 species
AUCCUUACCUGGCAGGGGAGAUACCAUGAUCACGAAGGUGGUUUUCCCAGGGUGAGGUGUAUCCAUUGCACUCUGGAUUUGCUGACCCCUGUGAUUUCCCUAAGUGGGGGGGCGGGGGUGAGAGAUUUUUUUUUCUUUAAUAAGAGAAAGCAUCUCUCUUU